GAGGGUGUCAAGGAUGGGAUGGGGCAGUGGGCAAGGAGAGCGGGGCGCUCCUCUUUGAAACUUGGUGUCAUACCCUAGGAUUUCGGUCCCCCUUUCAGGGUUCCCGGAGCCCGUGUCUGGGCAGAAGCCCGAUUUCCUCGGGGAACCCUGACUGUUCCUCCCCUGCCCCGAGUGGGGGCAGGGGCCUCCAGUCCAAGGGGAAAGGCUGAGCUUUGAUUUGGAGACUGUAAGACCGAGAUUGGGACUGGGGCCUGAGGUAGAGGGGCGGGGUGGAGGAGGUGCCGCGAGGGCCCGCCCCCACCUAGCUCCGAGGCUCGGCGUAAACAGGGCACCCGCGGGGACACGCUGGAGCUUGCCCGCCCUCCCUGGGGCUCUGGGAUGGAGCCCACCUCAGUACCCGCCCCGCCCUGGUCGCCUGGCACCGGGCGCAGGAGGGGCAGGACCUAGUUUGGAGGGAGAAAUUGAAUCCAGGCCCUUGCACAAGCUAGAAAAAUGCUCUACCAUUGGACUAUAGCCCAGCCCUCCACCCAGCUCUUCACUGGUGGGGAAGUUGGGACUAUGCUUGGAGCUGAUACUGGUCUAGUGAGACCAGUCUAUUGGAGGUUUCCUGCUACCAGAGGAUGGUGUCACUGAGAAAAACUCUACUCCAAGACUCAGGGAUGUGGGACCUGCCUCAAUGAAGCUGUUUGUAGUUCUGUGCUUGUCUGAAGUUACUGUAAACUCUCAACUGGAUUCAAGACUUUUCAUAAAGGUAUUUUAAUUUGUA